UACGUAGGCAGCGAGCGUUGUUCGGAAUUACUGGGCGUAAAGAGUGUGUAGGCGGUGCUCUAAGUUCGGUGUGAAAUCUCCUGGCUCAACUGGGAGGGUGCGCCGGAAACUGGAGUGCUUGAGCGUGGGAGAGGAAAGCGGAAUUCCUGGUGUAGCGGUGAAAUGCGUAGAUAUCGGGAGGAACACCUGCGGUGUAGACGGCUUUCUGGACCAUUGCUGACGCUGAGACACGAAAGCGUGGGUAGCAAACAGG
rnacentral:rRNA from 1 species